CCUACGGGGGGCAGCAGUUUCGAAUCAUUCACAAUGGGCGAAAGCCUGAUGGUGCGACGCCGCGUGAGGGAUGAAGGCCUUCGGGUUGUAAACCUCUGUCACUGGGGAAGAAACGCUUCAAGUUAAUAGCUUGAAGCCUGACUUAACCCAGAGAGGAAGCAGUGGCUAACUCUGUGCCAGCAGCCGCGGUAAUACAGAGACUGUGGGCGUUAUGCGGAUUCACUGGGCGUAGUGGGUUAGCAGGCAGCCGCCGGGGCUUAACCUCGGAAUUGCGCCUAAAACUACACGGCUAGAGCAUUGGAGAGGGUAGCGGAAUUCACGGUGUAGCAGUGAAAUGCGUAGAUAUCGUGAGGAACACCAGAGGCGAAGGCGGCUACCUGGACAAUUGCUGACGCUCAGGCACGAAAGCGUGGGGAGCAAAAGGGAUUAGAUACCCUUGUAGUC
rnacentral:rRNA from 1 species